rnacentral:rRNA from 1 species
UACGGAGGGGGCUAGCGUUGUUCGGAUUUACUGGGCGUAAAGAGCGCGCAGGCGGUCGAUCAAGUCGCGUGUGAAAGCCCCCGGCUCAACUGGGGAGGGUCACGCGAUACUGAUCGACUCGAAGGCAGGAGAGGGUAGUGGAAUUCCCGGUGUAGUGGUGAAAUGCGUAGAUAUCGGGAGGAACACCAGUGGCGAAGGCGACUACCUGGCCUGUUCUUGACGCUGAGGCGCGAAAGCUAGGGGAGCAAACGGG